rnacentral:lncRNA from 1 species
CGGCUUGCUACGAGGAAGUCCAGCUCGCCGACCUCGGCCCUCACCUGGAUCGCCACAGGUACGGCGUCGGCGGUUGGUUAGUUCAUCUCUUGUUAGUUAGUUUGCUAUAAGCUACUUACUCUGUUUGACUCUCGCGGCUAAUCUAUUCUGGACAUUUGCACCGCAGGCGUGAGAAUGAGGAGAACAGGUUUAAGGAUUUGGAGGAGAGCGCAAGGCAAGGCGAACACUAUCUGGAAAGGGUGCGGGAGCUGAGCCGCGAAUACGAGCAAAGGAUGCUCAAGAUCCAGCGGUACACCAUCCUAAUUUGAUGGGCGGUGAUGAAUAGAUUUAGAGUGCUCGUGGUCGUGCUCGGAUGGGUUGAACAAACCUGAUGAAGGAUGCGAUGUAUUCUUCUCUUUGUUUUAAAAAAAGAAUUGAGUGCAACGGUUAGUUUGAGUUACUUGUAGUCUGUCCUGAUGGAUCACUUUGUUGUCUCUCAAAUUCUAACGCCUCUUGUUCACAGUUAAGAGUUACGUCUUGUAGUCUGUCCUGAUGGAUCACUUUGUUGUCUCCCAAAUUCUAACGCCUGUUGUUGUCUCUCGAAUUCUAAUGCCUCUUGUCGACAGUUCGAGUUAUGUCUUGUUGUUGUCUUUCGAAUUCUAAUGACUCUUGUCAACAGUUCAAGUUGUGUCUUAUAGUCUGUCCUGAUUGAUCACUUUGUUCUCUCUCGAAUUCUAAUGCCUCUUGUCAACAGUUCGAGUUAUGUCUUGUAGUCUGUGCUGAUGAAUCACUCUGUUUUCUCUCGAAUUCUCCUCUUGUUAACAGUUCGAGUUAUGUCUUGUAGUCUGCCCUGAUGACUCACUGUGUGUCUCAAAUGCCUCAUGCAG